rnacentral:rRNA from 1 species
UACAGAGGUGGCAAGCGUUGUUCGGAAUUACUGGGCGUAAAGGGCGAGUAGGCGGCCUUCUAAGUCGAACGUGAAAUCCCCGGGCUCAACCCGGGAACUGCGUCCGAUACUGGAAGGCUUGAAUCCGGGAGAGGGAUGCGGAAUUCCAGGUGUAGCGGUGAAAUGCGUAGAUAUCCACAGGAACUCCGGUGGCGAAGGCGGCACGCUGGACCUUUUCUGACGCUGAGGCGCGAAAGCCAGGGGAGCAAACGGG